UGAGGAAUCUUGCGCAAUGGGGGAAACCCUGACGCAGCAACGCCGCGUGAGUGAGGAAGGUCUUCGGGUCGUAAAGCUCUGUCAGGCGGGGGGAAAUGCAUGGAGGUGAACAGCCGCCAUGCUUGACGGUACCGCCGGAGGAGGCACCGGCUAACUCCGUGCCAGCAGCCGCGGUAAUACGGGGGGUGCAAGCGUGGUUCGGAAUCAUUGGGCGUAAAGAGCGUGUAGGCGGCUUGGUAAGUCAGAUGUGAAAGCCCUGGGCUCAACCCGGGAAGUGCAUUUGAAACUGCCAGGCUCGAGUAGGGGAGAGGGAAGUGGAAUUCCUGGUGUAGAGGUGAAAUUCGUAGAUAUCAGGAGGAACACCGGUGGCGAAGGCGACUUCCUGGCCCUAUACUGACGCUGAGACGCGAGAGCGUGGGUAGCAAACAG
rnacentral:rRNA from 1 species